CGGAGCCACGAGUGGUAACCAUAUUUAUUGGGCCUAAAGCGUUCGUAGCUGAUUUAGCAAAUCUUUUGUGAAAUUGUUGGGCUUAACUUAACAAUGUGCAAAAGAGACUACUAAGUUCGAGACCGGGAAGAGGUAGACGGUACUCGGUAGGAAGGGGUAAAAUCCUUUGAUCUAUUGAUGACCAACUGUGGCGAAGGCGGUCUACCAGAACACGUCCGACGGUGAGGGAUGAAAGCUGGGGGAGCAAAACGGAUUAGAGACCCGAGUAGUCC
rnacentral:rRNA from 1 species